GGUAAAAUGGCUGAGAUUUUAGGCAAUAAACUGUAAAUUUAUUUAGGAAUUUUUUUUUCUUUUAUCA
rnacentral:tRNA from 1 species